UACAGAGGGGGCAAGCGUUGUUCGGAAUUACUGGGCGUAAAGGGUGCGUAGGUGGCGUCGUAAGUCAGGUGUGAAAUCUCGGGGCUCAACCCCGAAACUGCACUUGAUACUGCGAUGCUUGAGUACUGGAGAGGAGAUUGGAAUUUACGGUGUAGCAGUGAAAUGCGUAGAUAUCGUAAGGAAGACCAGUGGCGAAGGCGAAUCUCUGGACAGUUACUGACACUGAGGCACGAAGGCCAGGGGAGCAAACGGG
rnacentral:rRNA from 1 species